GGACAACGAGGUUUUGUUACAGGAGUUAAUUUAGCCAGCACUUUUUCUGGAACACUUUUCAAGUUCUGUAUUUAACUGAGAUCGAGAACUGUUUGUUUGUUUGCUUUUCUAAAAAAAAGAGAAAAAAGAAAAAAAAAGAAAGAAAGAAAGCGGAGAAGAGGACGAGAGAAGCCCCCUGUUUUUUUAAAAAAUAAGAACUCGCUCCGUCUCUGAACAACGCGGCUGUGAUUUUUGGACCAAGCCGUGUUGUCGUGUCCCCCCCCAACACACACCUCCCGCUCCACAGCCUCUAGCAGAAAGACAAUCGGACAGCAGCCGCCUCCUUCCCGCCCCCGCCUGCAUGCGUGUGAGCUGACAGCGGAACACAACUCGGGACGGCGACGGGAGGGGCUGGGGGGGGGCUGGGAUUUUUUGUUGGUUGGUUUGAUUGGUUUUUCUACAAAAAUAAAUGAGAUCUGUGAACUCGAAGGAAAAACUCACGGAUGCCGACUGAGGACUUGGCUACGUCCCCUCUUCCGCCACGUUUGCUGUUUUGGAGGGUUUCUUUUAUUUUUUGUUCCCCAGUGUGUUUGGUUUUGGGGGUAUUUUUGUUGCUUGAUUAUUUUUUUUUUCCGGAGAGCCAAAUAUAUAUAUAUAUUAAAAACUCCGCCAGUGGAUGGAGACACACCUAUUGCCUGCUUAUAUAAACAAAUGAGAAGACCCCACCUUGCCCCAUCCCAGCCAUGAGUUCACUACACCACAGUCUAGCAUCCACCGGCUACUCUGGGCAGAUGUUUUUUUUCAUUUUUUGGCAGGGGUGUGGGGAGAUGGUGAGCGUCCCCCACUCCCAAAGCAUCAGCGUGCACCGAAAUCCCAGCCAGAAGAGUGAACAGCAUCGCCCCGCCUGAUCUCCACCCCGGGUUGGCCUCUCCACCUCUCUUCUCCUCCAGUCCCCCUUCCCCGCAACUUUCUUCUUCUCUCCCACUCUGUUUGGCAGCAGAGAUGCCCCCAGUCUCUCCUCUGUUUGGAAGCAGAGGGAUGUCUAUUUUUUUUUUCUGCACAAAACCAGCAAUUGUAUAUACUUUUGAAGAAAAGAAAAAUAGUAAAAAAAAAAAAUACAAAAACAAAAAACCCACACACACGGAAAAAAAUUAAAAAUAAAUAAUCCAAAAAAAAAGUGGAGAGGCA
rnacentral:lncRNA from 1 species